rnacentral:rRNA from 1 species
CAGUCGCCACGGGAAUACAGAGGGUGCGAGCGUUAAUCGGAUUUACUGGGCGUAAAGCGUGCGUAGGCGGCUUCUUAAGUCGGAUGUGAAAUCCCUGAGCUUAACUUAGGAAUUGCAUUCGAUACUGGGAAGCUAGAGUAUGGGAGAGGAUGGUAGAAUUCCAGGUGUAGCGGUGAAAUGCGUAGAGAUCUGGAGGAAUACCGAUGGCGAAGGCAGCCAUCUGGCCUAAUACUGACGCUGAGGUACGAAAGCAUGGGGAGCAAACAGGAUUAGAGACCCCCGUAGUCCCUGUCUCUUAUAC